rnacentral:rRNA from 1 species
AACAAACGCUGGCGGCGUGCCUAAUACAUGCAAGUCGAACGGGGAAAGCUUUCGGGUGAGUACUAGUGGCGCACGGGUGAGGAACGCGUGGAUAAUCUGCCUUAGUGUGGGGGAUAACUAGUCGAAAGAUUAGCUAAUACCGCAUAAGACCACGAGAGCUGCGGCUUUUGAGGUCAAAGGUUUUUCGCUCUAAGAUGAGUCCGCGUAAGAUUAGCUAGUUGGUGAGGUAACGGCUCACCAAGGCGACGAUCUUUAACUGGUCUGAGAGGAUGAUCAGUCACAAUGGAACUGAGACACGGUCCAGACUCCUACGGGAGGCAGCAGGAGGGAAUAUUGCAAAAUGGAGGAAACUCUGAUGCAGCGACGCCGCGUGAGUGAUGAAGGCCUUCGGGUCGUAAAGCUCUGUCGCAGGGGAAUAACACAAUGAAGGUACCCUGUAAGAAAGGAUCGGCUAACUUCGUG